UUUUGGUGUUAUCUGAUGACUUUCUCUUCACUUGAUGGAUGUUUUGGGUAACUUUCCGGCGUCUGUGACCUUAUUCCGGUGAGUUUCAGAACCUACGGUUUCCUGACUUUCUCUUCGCUUGAUGUACGUUUUGGGUAACUUUCCGGCGUCUGUGACCUUAUUCCGGUGACUUUCAGAACCUACGGUUUCCGGUGUUGGACCUAGGGUUUUCUCUGUCGAUUGAAGGUCGAUCUUCUCCGGUCGCGAGAAAGGAGGGUAACUCUUUCCUUAUUUUGAGUAUUGUAUGCUUUGUAUGUGAGUAUCUGGUUCCGUUAUAUUUUGCUUGUCGAAACUGUUUUUCGUUCAAGCUGGUUCAUUAAUCAUGGCUUCUAAUGCGAAUGAUGGUACCUCCUCCUCGGUAGACUCUACCAGCCCCCUUUUUGUAUACUCCUCUGAUGUCUCUGGGGUCUCUCUUGUCCCCACUCCCUUCUCGGGUAGUGGUUAUGGGGGUUGGAGGAGAAAAAUAAUUAUCGCGUUAUCUGCUAAAAACAAAAUUGGUUUUGUUGAUGGUACGUGCUCCCGGCCAGCCACUAAUAUGGCUCAACAAAGGAUAUGGGACAGGUGCAAUAAUAUGGUGAAUUCCUGGUUAACUGCCUCCCUCUUCCCUCAAAUUGCUGAAAGUGUGCAGUAUUCUGAUACUGCGCAGAGUAUAUGGUCCCAACUUCAGGCCAGAUAUGGCACUGCAAACAGGACCAAAAUUUUUGAAUUGAAAAGCGAGCUUUCUCACACCUCUAAAGGGUCCCUAGAUGUAGCUUCAUAUUUUAAUAAACUCAAAGGUCUGUGGGAUGAACUAGAAUCAAUGUGUGCCAAUCAUGGCCAAAGAUGUGUUUGUGCUGCCAAAGAUGGUAUAAUACAGGAAAAUGAUGAAAAUAAGGUAUUUCAGUUUCUAAUGGGCCUUAAUGAAGCANN
rnacentral:lncRNA from 1 species